GCAGGCGUAGUUCAGUGGUAGAACCCGACCUUGCCAAGGUCGUCACGCGAGUUCGAUUCUCGUCGCCUGCUCCA
rnacentral:tRNA from 1 species